UGACCUCGGAUCAGACGUGAUUACCCGCUGAAUUUAAGCAUAUUAUUAAGCGGAGGAAAAGAAACUAACAAGGAUUCCCCUAGUAACGGCGAGUGAACGGGGAAGAGCCCAACACCGAAUCCCUUGGCGCAAGUCAACGGGAAAUGUGGUGUUAAGGUAGCCCUUCGUGUCAGUCUAGGCGUCUCAAGUCCACCUGAUUGUGGCUCAAGCCCAGAGAGGGUGUAAGGCCCGUAGAGACGCUCCGACUGAUUCCUGGGGUUUACCUACGAGUCGGCUUGUUUGGGAAUGCAGGCCAAAGCGGGUGGUAAACUCCAUCCAAGGCUAAAUACUGGCACGAGUCCGAUAGCGGACAAGUACCGUGAGGGAAAGUUGAAAAGAACUUUGAAGAGAGAGUUCAAUAGUACGUGAAACCGCUUAGAGGCAAACGGAUGGUGCUCAUACUGGCCUGAGGAAUUCAACUGUGACGGUGGCUGGACGAGCUGGCGUUCCGAUCUCUCUUUUGGGACGGGCGUCGGUUUGGCUAUCAGCUCCGACAUGGUGCACUUUCCUUGGUGCCUCCGCCACGACCGACGACACUGGCUACCCGCGGCUGGGGUAAGGUGACAAACUGCUUCGGCAAUUUGUGUUAUAGACCCCGGCGUCGGACAUGGUUUGGCCAGGACGUCGAGCUUGCGGCGCCCGCUCCUUGUGGGCUCGCAUGUUGGCUAGCUUGGCUGCGCCGAUGCUUGCACUGGACAACCAGUACAGGUGACGGUUGUGGUCUUGUCUCUAGUUGGCCUCUGCGAGUUUGGCGCCUAUAGUCUGUGGUGUACUUGUGGUAGACUAUCCGACCCGUCUUGAAACACGGACCAAGGAGUCUAACAUGUGCGCGAGUCAUGGGGAUUCUACGAAACCCAAAGGCGCAGUGAAAGUAAAGGCCUGCUUCUCGUAGGCUGAGGUGGGAUCUCGUGCAUCGCGAUUGGCGAGCGCACCACCGGCCCGUCCUAUCUGUCUCUGUCAGUGGGCGGCGCAAGAGCGUACACGUUGGGACCCGAAAGAUGGUGAACUAUGCUUGCGCAGCUCGAAGUCAGUGGAAACACUGAUGGAGGAGCGCAGCGUUUCUGACGUGCAAAUCG
rnacentral:ncRNA from 1 species